CUUGCAUGAUGCUUGAAAUUUCCAUCCACCCACAAAGCUGUUUUUAUAGCCUACUGCACUGUUGCAUAUCUAGUUCCUUACACUUUUUUUGAAAGUGCCUGGUUUGUGGUUGAUUGGCUUGUUGUAUUGCAUUAGCACUAUAUAUUUGAUUAUGUGGAAGGGCUGGGAGUUGGGGAACGGAGACGGCGGCACCACGGUUAGCAAGCAAUGAGUGCUUCCGGGAAUGCGAAAGAGCCGCCAGACCCAUUGGAACUGGCGUUUGGUGGACUGGGAUGUGAUCAUGCAUUGUUAAGCAUGGAUAAGUUUGAAACUAAUGAUUUGGAGGAGUUGUCAGGGGAGCAUGAUAGUGAGAGUAGGCCUACUAUAAAUAAGUGAAGGUGACGAAGGUGAAUGGAAUUUAAUUCAAAGAGCAUCGAAGAAAAGAAAGGGAAAUACUAAACUAGAUGAAACAAAAAGAGUUAGGACUGAGGUUAAAGUAGUGAUUCGAUUUCAAACCCCCUGUGCAUUAAACCCAUUAAAAGUCAGUGAAGCAAUUUAUAAGCAAAUAGGAGGUCGAAGUUCGCUCCGUCAGAACGCUAAGAGAUGGUAACCUGUUAGUGGUUUGUCAAGACAGAGAUCAGAGAAUGGGAUUGAAGAAACUUAAAACGUUACUGGAAAAGUGUUAAAGCCCAAGACUGCCCACACAGCAAAAGGACUCUGCGGUGGUAUGACGGCUUCCGGAACGGACCCGUGAAACGGACCCGUAUUGGAGUCCAGAUGCUCUCAGGAACGGAUCCGCUAUGAAGGCUCCGCACUGCAUCCACUCCGCAUCCGCGAUUAAAACCUUACCUCCACGGCGAGUCCGUUUGGGAUCCGCAAAUUGAUACAUACAUCCGCCGCGGACCCGCAACGGACUCAAAGGCUCAUCUGGCCCGGGUCCGUUUUGGACCCGUUUAUCUCAUUUUCAAAAUUCCUUCUGUUCUUGCUGUAGGAUAAAACUAAGCAACUAUAGGAUAAAAGUAAAACUAUCACUAGGCCUAGCCUAGGCUACUACAGCAAUAUAGGCCUACGAUUAAUCUGCAUUGCCUCGUAUUUUUAACUUAACAAUACUGUCAAUAAACCUAACAGAAAAGGUUUAAGUCAAGACAUCAAUUUACUGUACAAACGUGAUCACUACUCAAUGGAAAUAUAAAAUGGACAUUUAUGGAAAGUUACAGGUUAUAAGCUAUUCUGUUUUUGUUAAGUAGCCUACAUUGCCUAGGCUACUUUACAUUCAUUUUGUGGUCAAAACCUAAUUUAGUGCUUUAUAGGCCUAGGUCAGUGCAGACAUGAAAUAUUUUAUCUAAUAGGCUACAACUUCAAUGAAAUACUGCGCUAUGCACAGCUAAAAUAUCAGAAAAUGAAUAACUGGUGAAUGACAAGAAGUUCAAUAAAAAGAUUGUUUAAUGCUUA